GUCUAUAGCCAUGCCACCCUGAACAAGCCUGAUGUCUGAUCUCGGAAGCUAAGUAGGGUUAGGCCUGGUUAGUACUUGGAUGGGAGACCACCUAGAAGGACUAGGUGCUGUAGGCA
rnacentral:rRNA from 1 species